GAACACGAGUCAUCUGCCGACGAACCUGAACCUGCUGCUGCCCACCGAAACUCCACUGCAGCGCUGGCCGAUGCGGAGCCAGCAGCCCCCACUGCGAUUAUCCCAAACACGGAGACGCCAGCCUGCAUGAUCCUGGUGGGUAUCGUCGCAGUGCUGACGUUGGGCGUGGUCGCUGUGGCUGUCGCCUGGUACCUCUUGAAAGAGAUGCCCGAAAAAGACCCA
rnacentral:lncRNA from 1 species